rnacentral:lncRNA from 1 species
UUUUCGUGGCAUUUUUCUCUGCGAGCCAGUUUUCUCCCGCUUCGCUAUUUUCUAAUUUUUUAUAAUUUUUUUCUUUUAAAAUAAAACAAAAUAAUAGUAAAAUUAAUAAAAUAAAUAAAAAUAAAAAUAAAAAUAGAUUAAAAUCACGGAUAUCGAGAAUGAUGUAAAUUAAUUUAAAUUUAGGGCGGCCAAAGGCCCGAAUUAAUAGAGUUUUCAAAUCAUUUUAGCACAGUGAUGGGUGGAGUGUUAGAUCCCUCCCACCUAAAAAAAUUUGGUCCUCAAAUU